rnacentral:rRNA from 1 species
AUGGAGCUGAUUCUCACUAGUUGUAAUUGGGUGGCGAUCGUUCACACAGUUGUUCUGACCAGUAAUGGGAUGCUAAUUCAUCCUAACGAUUGCAUCUUCAACGACGCGCGCCCAUCCAUCCUAACGUUAGUUCACGGCAUCAAGGAGGAGGCCAAACUUUGGGCUCUGGCAGGCGAUGCUGGACUUAGAGUAGUCCGGCCCCCGACCUGGGAUGUGGUUGUCAAGGAAGAAUUUCCUAGAGCAGCUGCUAUUGGAGAAUUCAGGGAUGAAACUAGGUUUCUGUGA